rnacentral:lncRNA from 1 species
AGUGGGCCAGGCCUACCUAACUGUUGCCAGGUAACUGUGGGGAUGGAGUCCAGACAGAAUCCUAACAGAUACAAACUAGAAAGACCUGGGAGAGAGAGCUUCUAUGAAUCAGCUGGCCUGUUCUUCCAGUUUCCGAUGAGGAUUGAGGACAAAGACUCUUCAGGAAUCCUCCAGGCCUUUGGUGCCAGAUGGAUAUUGCUGAGACAUCAGCCUCAUGGACUGAGCAAGUACUGGGCUUCACCCUCUUCACUGAGACAGCCAUUGUUGGACUAUUCUGACCACAACCUUCUCACUUUUAACCUGCUGAAACACUCCAGUCAUGGCCAAACUAACUAUUGAAGUGCCAGCCAGUGUUGUUGAAGGGCACAGCAUUCUUCUACAUGUUCACAAUAAAUCACAGAAUUGGCAAGCCUUUUCCCAGUACAAAUGUUUUGAUUCCAAAGAAGAUGAUUAAACUGUAUCUUAUAAAAUAUCCCACUGAUUCAUAUAAGUGAGGGCAUCAAUCCAGUGGUAGAGAGACAAUAUUUACUAAUGGGUCUCUGCUGCUCUUUAAUGUCACCCAGAAAGAUACAAGAUGCUACAGCAUGCAAACCUUUGAUACAUAUCAUCCACAUGAACAAACAAAUCUCCAUGUAUCACCCAGCAAGUGAUUCCCUGUAACUUCUGGAUAUUGGAUUGUGUGAAUUCUACUUUAUACACUCUGGACCUCCAGGCCUGUACUGUUUCUGCCUACUCUACUUGGUGUCUCUGCAACGGGGAUUGACAGUUCAGUGCAGGACACACACAGUGCAGACAGACUGCAGUAGAUGAAAAUCCUUCACCUGACUUAUCCUGCACAGAGGAGUCUGAGUGCUGGGAUAACUGAGCCAGGAAUGUCAAACAAAGCCCAAACUCUUGUGACUUUCACUAUGACCCUGUGGUAAUCAGAUGGGGCCUGGCCAAAAACAAAAACAAAACAAAACAAACAAAAACGUGGGAUACAGAGAGAUAAGCACACUGAAGCCUGGGAUGAAGUUCUUGGUCUCAGAAUCAGCUCCAGGGCUGAAAUUUGACUUUUUGUUGGAUCUGAGAGGGAACCAUGCUUUAUUGGACGUCUACAGCUCUUAGUAUCUGGACUCAGCCAGUACACAGUCAUAAGAGCAACAACAUUCAGGCUUAAGUGACUUGAGCAACUCAUUCUGAGACUCAGCAUGGAAAGCAUAGCUGGAUAAGUAUCUCAGUUUUCUGCCAACUGUUCUGAUAGGCUUAUGAGGGAACAUAUACUCCUGGCUACUGCUUGUCCUUGAGGGUCUAGCAUGGUGAAUUCUCCCUUUUAUUCAAGUAGUAGCAGACUCUGCUAAUGUGAGCAACUCUCUUGUCCCAAAUUUAAAUCAUAUUUAAACCUA